rnacentral:rRNA from 1 species
CGCGUAGGCGGCAUUACAAGUCAGAUGUGAAAGCCCCGGGCUUAACUCGGGAAUUGCAUCUGAAACUGUUUUGCUUGAGUCUUGGAGGGGGUAGUGGAAUUCCCAGUGUAGCGGUGAAAUGCGUAGAUAUUGGGAGGAACACCUGCGGCGAAGGCGGCUACCUGGACAGUGACUGACGCUGAGGCGCGAAAGCUAGGGGAGCGAACG